GGAGGAGAAAGUCCAACUGAAAUAAAGGCAGAAGUGAAGCAAUCCAUGGCGGUGAUUGAGAGCAGCUGGGUUCAUUCCCCUCUCGGCCAAUCGGGGUGUGACGACGCCCCUUUUUCUGGGGUUUAAGAGAAGAGAGAAACUGCGUGUGGUCACUGUGUUCCUUCCUCUGCUGGUUGCAGACCUGUCAGACAGAAACUCUGGUCUGUUGAGGCCCUUUUGUGUCUUCUUUCUGGUCUUUUUCUUUCUGAUGUGAGGGGACCUUUUGAGGGAGAACAUGACAUAAACCAAGUGUCCUGCAUCGGUUUCUUAGUGCCCAUCGUGCAAGAAAUUGUGCUUGCCCCACGAUAGCCUAAACACCUGCAGGCUUUAUUUUUUAUACAAAUUAAAGAGGCAUUAUUUCAUUAUGGGGACGUUUCCCAUCAUGCAACACCUUGUGAGGUUUCUCCAAGUGAAUAUUAUUUAUUUAUUUUUUAUGUCUUUCUUUAUGUGGCUGGGAGCUGGUUUACAGAACAUCUGUGUUCGAGGGGAAUCAGAACCGCCACACAACAGUUGUUGAGAUGUUUCAGUCUGGUGGACAAACCAACAUCUUCAUCCAAAGAGCAAGAGCCUUCAGACUGUACAACAACACUUUUCAAGACGUCUGUAAUAAUAAAAUGUUGAUCACA